CUGUGAUGUCGGGUGACCAGGUGGGGAUCCUGCUGUGAUGUCGGGUGAUGAGGGGGGAUCCCGCUGUGACGUCAGGGAGAUGCGCUCCACCUGGAGCGGGCUUGGACGGGACUCCCUCUCUGCCCCUUGGCCACGGACCUAUUCUGUGUGUGCGUGUGUGCAGUUUUCCACCUUGAAGACCCUCCAACCUCAGAGGCCUGGGUUAUAUCUUGAGCAUCUGCACGUCUAAGGGGAUUCUUGGGGUAUCAGUGCUUUGACGUUGUGGCCUCUCCGCUGUACUUUGCACCGUUAGUGUUCUUUUGCUUUCCCUCUCAGUUUUAUUCUGCUACAAUCUCAUCCGGUGUUUUGCUCUGUAAAUCUGAUGAUCUACGUGGCUAAGAUGAUGUCUCACAGGUCCACGUAUUGGAAGGGCCAAAGAACGGUCUAGCAGUGUGAGGACAGGGAGUCCAGUUUCAGGAGUGGAGCACUACGUACCAGCAUUUCAGGACAGAAAAAAUUAGAGAGAUUAACUCUUAACCCCUGCUGAGUGGGCACUUACUGUUAAAAACAACAACAAAAGCAACAGCAAAACAAUUUGAUUGAGUAAAUUUGAAAAUCUAAUUGGCUUCAUUCAGUGAUUCGUGAAUGCGGCAGCAUCGCAUCUAGCAAACAGAAAGGAGCUCCGAAGAGCUGCAGAAAAGGAAAAGUUUUUAAAGACAGAAAGUGGGUGGGAGAACGAAGUCAUAAGCAGAAGACAGGAUUUUCUUCCAGGACGGUCCUCUUACCUUAGGGGACCCGUCAGGCCGACCACCUCCCUGGCGUAGCCCGGAGAUGCUGGACAAAGAUUACAUUCCUAGGAGAGGACGGAGCUGCAGCCGGGUUAGCCAUUACACUUUGGUGUGCUGACGUGGGGCUUAACCCAAGUGAUUCCAUUUUGGGCCCGUUUCCUUUUUUUUUUUUGACAUUAGCCAUCAAUUGUUCAUUUAAGUCUAAAAUUCUUUUGUAUCAGCUUGAGUCUCAUAGCGGAUCCCUGGUCUGUAGCAGCCAGUGCUCACUCAGAUAAGAAUCAAGCUGAUAAGGCAUUAGGCAGGGAUUAUGAAAGCCAGCUUAAUUAAAGAAACUUCAAGGGGAUCAUAAAUAAUCAGUGCAAGUUAUUAACUUUUGACAACUGCUCAUCCGUACUGAGUUCGAAUGACUUCUGGCCUUAAUCUAAUUCCGAAUGAAUGCAGUUCAUAAGGGAAAAUACCCUUUAUAAAUGCCUG
rnacentral:lncRNA from 1 species